UUUGUUUCCGUGCCUGCGGUGCUAAAGAGUGUUCCAUGGAUCGCAGGCCCGCGCUUUGGCGCAAAGGGUUUUGCCGGAAACGGCAGGGCCUUCCGUGUUUGAGAAGGAAGCAU
rnacentral:ncRNA from 1 species